rnacentral:rRNA from 1 species
UGUCGGCAGGCCUAACACAUGCAAGUCGAGCGGUAGCACAGAGAGCUUGCUCUCGGGUGACGAGCGGCGGACGGGUGAGUAAUGUCUGGGAAACUGCCUGAUGGAGGGGGAUAACUACUGGAAACGGUAGCUAAUACCGCAUAACGUCGCAAGACCAAAGUGGGGGACCUUCGGGCCUCAUGCCAUCAGAUGUGCCCAGAUGGGAUUAGCUAGUAGGUGGGGUAACGGCUCACCUAGGCGACGAUCCCUAGCUGGUCUGAGAGGAUGACCAGCCACACUGGAACUGAGACACGGUCCAGACUCCUACGGGAGGCAGCAGUGGGGAAUAUUGCACAAUGGGCGCAAGCCUGAUGCAGCCAUGCCGCGUGUGUGAAGAAGGCCUUCGGGUUGUAAAGCACUUUCAGCGGGGAGGAAGGCGUUAAGGUUAAUAACCUUGGCGAUUGACGUUACCCGCAGAAGAAGCACCGGCUAACUCCGUGCCAGCAGCCGCGGUAAUACGGAGGGUGCAAGCGUUAAUCGGAAUUACUGGGCGUAAAGCGCACGCAGGCGGUCUGUCAAGUCGGAUGUGAAAUCCCCGGGCUCAACCUGGGAACUGCAUUCGAAACUGGCAGGCUAGAGUCUUGUAGAGGGGGGUAGAAUUCCAGGUGUAGCGGUGAAAUGCGUAGAGAUCUGGAGGAAUACCGGUGGCGAAGGCGGCCCCCUGGACAAAGACUGACGCUCAGGUGCGAAAGCGUGGGGAGCAAACAGGAUUAGAUACCCUGGUAGUCCACGCCGUAAACGAUGUCGAUUUGGAGGUUGUGCCCUUGAGGCGUGGCUUCCGGAGCUAACGCGUUAAAUCGACCGCCUGGGGAGUACGGCCGCAAGGUUAAAACUCAAAUGAAUUGACGGGGGCCCGCACAAGCGGUGGAGCAUGUGGUUUAAUUCGAUGCAACGCGAAGAACCUUACCUGGUCUUGACAUCCACAGAACUUUCCAGAGAUGGAUUGGUGCCUUCGGGAACUGUGAGACAGGUGCUGCAUGGCUGUCGUCAGCUCGUGUUGUGAAAUGUUGGGUUAAGUCCCGCAACGAGCGCAACCCUUAUCCUUUGUUGCCAGCGGUUCGGCCGGGAACUCAAAGGAGACUGCCAGUGAUAAACUGGAGGAAGGUGGGGAUGACGUCAAGUCAUCAUGGCCCUUACGACCAGGGCUACACACGUGCUACAAUGGCAUAUACAAAGAGAAGCGACCUCGCGAGAGCAAGCGGACCUCAUAAAGUAUGUCGUAGUCCGGAUUGGAGUCUGCAACUCGACUCCAUGAAGUCGGAAUCGCUAGUAAUCGUAGAUCAGAAUGCUACGGUGAAUACGUUCCCGGGCCUUGUACACACCGCCCGUCACACCAUGGGAGUGGGUUGCAAAAGAAGUAGGUAGCUUAACCUUCGGGAGGGCGCUUACCACUUUGUGAUUCAUGACUGGGGU